rnacentral:rRNA from 1 species
GUGGGGAAUAUUGCACAAUGGGCGAAAGCCUGAUGCAGCGACGCCGCGUGGGGGAUGAAGGCCUUCGGGUUGUAAACUCCUUUCGCUAGGGACGAAGAGAAAUUGACGGUACCUGGAGAAGAAGCACCGGCUAACUACGUGCCAGCAGCCGCGGUAAUACGUAGGGUGCGAGCGUUGUCCGGAAUUACUGGGCGUAAAGAGCUCGUAGGUGGUUUGUCGCGUCGUCUGUGAAAUCCCGGGGCUUAACUCCGGGCGUGCAGGCGAUACGGGCAUAACUUGAGUGCUGUAGGGGAGACUGGAAUUCCUGGUGUAGCGGUGAAAUGCGCAGAUAUCAGGAGGAACACCAAUGGCGAAGGCAGGUCUCUGGGCAGUAACUGACGCUGAGGAGCGAAAGCAUGGGUAGCGAACAGGAUUAGAAACCCUGGUAGUCC